rnacentral:lncRNA from 1 species
UCAAGUGGGGCCCACACCUCUAUUUCUAAAGAAUAGAAGCAACCUUUCUCGCUGAAUCAUAUGUGUGAACAUUUGGAUACUCUGCUGACCCAUUAAAAGAAGAAUGUUGACUUGCCUCAGUUCUCUUGUUCUAUGACUGAUGACCGACUUAAUGUGAAGCCUAUACACUUCACAUUUAGAUGUAGGUAAGUUCUGGCAAUGCAAAACGUGGUGCUCAGUUAGGUUGCACCAAAAUCUGUUUCAAGUCUUGUAUACCUAUAAUGGUUUCUUUAGUUGGGAUAUGUUCAUGGUGUGGAAAGAGAUUAUAUGCAUGUGGAUAUAAAUGUUAAUUAUUCUUAUGUUAUAAUCAAACUGGUUAAUUUUUUAGCUGUUCUGAAGUAGCAAUUUGAGGUGUUAGACAUGUAAUCUUUUCCUACCAUGUUCGAUGUGUCUGCAUAGCUUUGUUCAAUGAUGGUGGAAAAGUUAUUUGGGUCGCCUUCCUUUGUCAUUGUUCUUGCCGUCACGUGUUUUGUCGCAAUUAUCGUGUGUUAGCGGGAUUGUCCAGAGAACUGGCUCAGGUAUGUUAAGGCUAUCCCUUCUUUCUUUUGGCAUGAUCCAAUUAACGAUAUGUAAAUGUAAUGCAAUUGCAUAAGUGGUUCUACUCUUAGCAGUUAAGGAUGUAUAUGUUAUUCAUUCCCGUAAAAUAAUAUUCAAGCAUGUCUAAGUAUGUAUCUAGUUCCCUAUUGAGGUAUUUGAUAAAGAUGUUAAUAUUUAUAAUAUAGUAAUACAUGCAUCUUCAUGCAUAUUCAUUUACCACCGUGCUACGGCCGGUCGGGCAGUCAUGCAUUUACCACCGGGCUACGGCCGGUCGAGCAGUUACCACCGGUUGGGCAGUUAUGUAUCAUUAUUUACCACCGGUUGGGCAGUCAUGUAUAUUCAUUUACCAUCGAGCUACGACCGGCCGGGAAGUCAUGCAUUUACUACCGAGCUACGGCCUAUUGGGCAGUUACAUAUUUACCACCGAGCUACGGCCGGUCGGGCAGUCAUAUAUUUACCACAGAGCUACAGACGGUCGGGCAGUCAUACAUUUAACACCGUACUACGGUGCAGUUACUAUUGAUCAGUUGGACAGUCAUGCAUCGUACGAUAUGGAUAAUAGUCUCAAAGAGAAGCAUUGUAUAUAUGUAAGUAUAAUAAGUAUGCAUAUACGGUGACACUUCAGAGAUUCAGGUUGAUUCUUAUAUGUCUUUAAUUAAUGUUGACUUACUGUUAUGUUUCAGUUCUACCUUACAUACUCAGUACAUUAUUCGUACUAAUGUCCUUUUGUUGGGUAUGCUGGAUUCAUGCCUGCAUGUAUAGAUAAUCAGUUUGACAAGCCCUCGUAGUAGACGAGAUUGGCAUUCAGCGAAGGAUCCAUAAGACUCCACCUCAUUCGGAGUGCAACCGAGUCUAUGAGUCAUCGUGUCAAAGUUUUACCACAGACUUAUGGGUAGGCCGAUACCCUAUUCCAUUUGAUGUCAAAUAAUCUUAGAGGCUUUGUAGAUAGAGGUUCAUUUUGUACAGUAUGUUAGAGGCCUUGACGGCCCAUAUGUAUUCAUGUUUUAAGAAAAAUGAGUCAGUGAUACAGUGUUUUCCCACUUACGCUUGUACAUUAUGAGUUGUGGCCAUGCUGGCCCAUGAUAGUUAUAAAAGGAAUGAGUUCAGC